UACAGAGGAGCCAAGCGUUGUCCGGAUUGACUGGGCGUAAAGCGCACGCAGGCGGAUACGCGCGUGGGGUGUGAAAUCUGGCCGCUUAACGGCCAGGCGCCAUCCCAUACGGCGUGUCUGGAGCUGUGCAGAGGUCGGUGGAAUUGCCGGUGUAGUGGUGAAAUGCGUAGAGAUCGGGAAGAACAUCGGUGGCGAAGGCGCUCUACUGGACCACAACUGACACUCAGGGACGAAAGCUAGGGGAGCGAAUGGG
rnacentral:rRNA from 1 species